rnacentral:rRNA from 1 species
GGUUAAGCGACUAAGCGUACACGGUGGAUGCCCUGGCAGUCAGAGGCGAUGAAGGACGUGCUAAUCUGCGAAAAGCGUCGGUAAGGUGAUAUGAACCGUUAUAACCGGCGAUGUCCGAAUGGGGAAACCCAGUGUGAUUCGACACACUAUCG